rnacentral:misc_RNA from 1 species
UCCUGGUUAACCCAGGCAGUCUCGUUAGAGUUCCCAUCUUUACAUGUUGGCAACUAACGAUAAGGGUUGCGCUCGUUGCGGGACUUAACCCAACACCUCACGGCACGAGCUGACGACAGCCAUGCAGCACCUGUGCAGCAGCCCCGAAGGGAGACGCUAUCUCUAGCGUUGUCUACUGCAUGUCAAGCCUGGGUAAGGUUCUUCGCGUUGCAUCGAAUUAAACCACAUGCUCCACUGCUUGUGCGGGUCCCCGUCAAUUCUUUUGAGUUUCAGCCUUGCGACUGUACUUCUCAGGCGGUAUACUUAUCGCGUUAGCUUCGGCACAACCGGGGUUGAGUCCAGUUACACCAAGUAUACAUCGUUUACAGCAAGGACUAC